rnacentral:rRNA from 1 species
AUUGAACGCUGGCGGCAUGCCUUACACAUGCAAGUCGAACGGUAACAGGUCUUCGGAUGCUGACGAGUGGCGAACGGGUGAGUAAUACAUCGGAACGUGCCUAGUAGUGGGGGAUAACUACUCGAAAGAGUGGCUAAUACCGCAUGAGAUCUACGGAUGAAAGCAGGGGAUCGCAAGACCUUGUGCUACUAGAGCGGCCGAUGGCAGAUUAGGUAGUUGGUGGGGUAAAAGCUUACCAAGCCGACGAUCUGUAGCUGGUCUGAGCGGAAGAUCAGCCACACUGGGACGGAGACACGGCCCGGACUCCUACGGGAGGCAGCAGUGGGGAAUUUUGGACAAUGGGCGAAAGCCUGAUCCAGCAAUGCCGCGUGCAGGAUGAAGGCCUUCGGGUUGUAAACUGCUUUUGUACGGAACGAAAAGCCCCGGGUUAAUAUCCUGGGGUCAUGACGGUACCGUAAGAAUAAGCACCGGCUAACUACGUGCCAGCAGCCGCCGUAA